CGUGUAGGCGGGUUGGCAAGUCAGAUGUGAAACCCCACGGCUUAACUGUGGGACUGCAUCUGAAACUGCUGAUCUUGAGUGCUGGAGAGGAAAGCGGAAUUCCCAGUGUAGCGGUGAAAUGCGUAGAGAUUGGGAGGAACACCAGUGGCGAAGGCGGCUUUCUGGACAGUAACUGACGCUGAGGCGCGAAAGCGUGGGGAGCAAACA
rnacentral:rRNA from 1 species